rnacentral:rRNA from 1 species
CCUACGGGUGGCUGCAGUGGGGAAUAUUGGACAAUGGGCGAAAGCCUGAUCCAGUCAUGCCGCGUGUGUGAAGAAGGCCUUCGGGUUGUAAAGCACUUUCAGUGGGGAAGAAAGCCUUGGGGCUAAUACCCUCGAGGAAGGACAUCACCCACAGAAGAAGCACCGGCUAACUCCGUGCCAGCAGCCGCGGUAAUACGGAGGGUGCGAGCGUUAAUCGGAAUUACUGGGCGUAAAGCGCGCGUAGGCGGUCUGAUAAGCCGGUUGUGAAAGCCCCGGGCUCAACCUGGGAACGGCAUCCGGAACUGUCAGGCUAGAGUGCAGGAGAGGAAGGUAGAAUUCCCGGUGUAGCGGUGAAAUGCGUAGAGAUCGGGAGGAAUACCAGUGGCGAAGGCGGCCUUCUGGACUGACACUGACGCUGAGGUGCGAAAGCGUGGGUAGCAAACAGGAUUAGAUACCCCGGGUC